GUCUACAAGAUUGGAGAAGAUUGGGGUGACAAGAAGGUCAUCUGCAACAAGUUCAUCCAGACGAGUGCUGUCACUUGUCUGCAGUGGCCCGCGGAGUACAUCAUUGUCUUUGGACUGGCUGAAGGCAAGGUUCGCUUAGCAAACACUAAAA